rnacentral:rRNA from 1 species
AGACCCGAAACCCGGUGAUCUAGCCAUGGGCAGGUUGAAGGUUGGGUAACACUAACUGGAGGACCGAACCGACUAAUGUUGAAAAAUUAGCGGAUGACCUGUGGCUGGGGGUGAAAGGCCAAUCAAACCGGGAGAUAGCUGGUUCUCCCCGAAAGCUAUUUAGGUAGCGCCUCGUGAAUUCAUCUCCGGGGGUAGAGCACUGUUUCGGCUAGGGGGCCAUCCCGGCUUACCAACCCGAUGCAAACUGCGAAUACCGGAGAAUGUUAUCACGGGAGACACACGGCGGGUGCUAACGUCCGUCGUGAAGAGGGAAACAACCCAGACCGCCAGCUAAGGUCCCAAAGUCAUGGUUAAGUGGGAAACGAUGUGGGAAGGCCCAGACAGCCAGGAUGUUGGCUUAGAAGCAGCCAUCAUUUAAAGAAAGCGUAAUAGCUCACUGGUCGAGUCGGCCUGCGCGGAAGAUGUAACGGGGCUAAACCAUGCACCGAAGCUGCGGCAGCGACACUGUGUGUUGUUGGGUAGGGGAGCGUUCUGUAAGCCUGCGAAGGUGGCCUGUGAGGGUUGCUGGAGGUAUCAGAAGUGCGAAUGCUGACAUAAGUAACGAUAAAGCGGGUGAAAAGCCCGCU